AUGGCCAACGUGAAACACACCUCUAACGAAGUUUUUGCUGAUUCUUCCAUAGAUCAAUCCAAUUCCAGUAGUAUUACUCAAGUAAAUUCCAAGGUCGAAAUUUCUAAAGAUGAGGAAGCUCUUAUCAUCAGGAUGUAUAAACUACUAGGGGAUAGGUGGUCAUUAAUUGCUGGAAGAAUUCCUGGACGAACAGAUGAAGAUAUAAAGAAUUACUGGACUUCAAGAUCCUCUUCUACUAGUCAAGGGAGUGUCAAAUAA